rnacentral:rRNA from 1 species
AGCGGCGAACGGGUGAGUAACACGUGGGCAACCUGCCCUCAGCUCUGGGAUAACUCCGGGAAAUCGGAGCUAAUACUGGAUAUGACUGCUGACCGCAUGGUCUGGUGGUGGAAAGAUUCAUCGGCUGAGGAUGGGCCCGCGGCCUAUCAGCUUGUUGGUGGGGUCACGGCCCACCAAGGCGACGACGGGUAGCCGGCCUGAGAGGGUGACCGGCCACACUGGGACUGAGACACGGCCCAGACUCCUACGGGAGGCAGCAGUGGGGAAUAUUGCGCAAUGGGCGAAAGCCUGACGCAGCGACGCCGCGUGGGGGAUGACGGCCUUCGGGUUGUAAACCUCUUUCACCCACGACGAAGCGCAAGUGACGGUAGUGGGAGAAGAAGCACCGGCCAACUACGUGCCAGCAGCCGCGGUAAUACGUAGGGUGCAAGCGUUGUCCGGAAUUAUUGGGCGUAAAGAGCUCGUAGGCGGUCUGUCGCGUCGGCUGUGAAAACCCGAGGCUCAACCUCGGGCCUGCAGUCGAUACGGGCAAACUUGAGUGUUGCAGGGGAGACUGGAAUUCCUGGUGUAGCGGUGAAAUGCGCAGAUAUCAGGAGGAACACCGGUGGCGAAGGCGGGUCUCUGGGCAACAACUGACGCUG